rnacentral:lncRNA from 1 species
CUUCAUUUAAUAGAGAAACUACGCUGUUAUCUAAAGUUGAUAUUAAUAUCUUGAAGUGGGACUCUUUAUAAAUGCCACAUCAACCAAAUAUUUUUUCUUCUUUCUUUAUUCUCUUUUCCUCUCUAUCAGUAGUAUGCAUACUUUCUUUUCUCUUUUCUUUUUGCAUUUGUUAAAUAAAACCGUUAACAUGUAGAAAAUAUAAUUAAAAUGCAGAAUCACUUCAAGAAACAAUUAUCAUUCUUU